UCUGAUGAUACAGGAAACUCAAGUCUGUCUGUUCCUCUAGGGGAUCCUAUUGCCAGCCAACCUGUGAUACCAGGGUUGAGCAGACAGCAAUGUGCUCAGAUUGUGAAUUUGAUUCAACAGACUCUUUCAAAGGAUUCUAGUGAUCAAGCUUCUUCUCCCAUGUGUUCUGCUAAUUUUGCUGGUACUAUGAUGUCUGAGAGUCUUGUCUCUGAUUCCAAAUUGUGCAUGCUUACAAACAUACAUUCUACUACCUAGAUCAUUGAUUCAGGGGCUUCUAAUCAUAUGACUUAUGAUAAAAAUCUACUUUUUGAUAUUAUNNNN
rnacentral:lncRNA from 1 species